rnacentral:lncRNA from 1 species
GACCGACAAUGCCAUCAAGAACCACUGGAAUUCGACACUAAAGAAGCGAGUCGAGCAGGAAGGGACCAGCCGCAGGAGGGACUCUGCGUCUAAGCAGCGGCCGGUGCUGGAGCGGCGAUCCAAGCCUCAGAGCAUUGCCGUGAAGCAGGAGCCUGCUGAGUGCAAGCAGGAGUAUGUGGUUCCUGUCGAAUGUGUGCCCUACCACACGACAUCUGUGUCCACCCCAAUCAUCGUGUCCGCCACUGAGACUCUGUGGCAGCCCGAGGAGUUUGCUGCCGUGCUGUCCACGUCGGGCGGAGACGUGAAGCCGGCCAAGGUUGAAGGUGGCACGCCACGCCAAACCAAGUGUGAGGAUGGCAGUGGCUCGGAGUACAUCGACAUCAAUGACCUCCUUUCACCACUCAAGGACAUCAACGUUGAGGAGCUGGAGACUGCGACGGCAGCGCGCAGCCCCAGUGGCUCGUUUGGGCAGCUCACUGCGUUGGACCUGGUUGAGGGCACCUGUGUCACACCUCACGUCACCCCGGUCAAGUUUGCCACAUCAGGUGCGUGCAGGCAGCUG